rnacentral:rRNA from 1 species
GCUGACGAGUGGCGGACGGGUGAGUAAUGUCUGGGAAACUGCCUGAUGGAGGGGGAUAACUACUGGAAACGGUAGCUAAUACCGCAUAACGUCGCAAGACCAAAGAGGGGGACCUUCGGGCCUCUUGCCAUCGGAUGUGCCCAGAUGGGAUUAGCUUGUUGGGGGGGUAACGGCUCACCAAGGCGACAAUCCCUAGCUGGUCUGAGAGGAUGACCAGCCACACUGGAACUGAAACACGGUCCAAACUCCUACGGGAGGCAGCAGUGGGGAAUAUUGCACAAUGGGCGCAAGCCUGAUGCAGCCAUGCCGCGUGUAUGAAGAAGGCCUUCGGGUUGUAAAGUACUUUCAGCGGGGAGGAAGGGAGUAAAGUUAAUACCUUUGCUCAUUGACGUUACCCGCAAAAAAAGCACCGGCUAACUCCGUGCCAGCAGCCGCGGUAAUACGGAGGGUGCAAGCGUUAAUCGGAAUUACUGGGCGUAAAGCGCACGCAGGCGGUUUGUUAAGUCAGAUGUGAAAUCCCCGGGCUCAACCUGGGAACUGCAUCUGAUACUGGCAAGCUUGAGUCUCGUAGAGGGGGGUAGAAUUCCAGGUGUAGCGGUGAAAUGCGUAGAGAUCUGGAGGAAUACCGGUGGCAAAGGCGGCCCCCUGGACAAAGACUGACGCUCAGGUGC